rnacentral:lncRNA from 1 species
GGGGCGACACCAGAGAGUGAAGAGAACUUGCUUCUUGCUAGACACUUUCCGUGAAAAUCUUUUGUUUAAGUUUUUUUUUUUUUUUUUUUUUAUUUCUAACAUGAGGCAAUUGCCUCAUUUGCCUCAAUGUAGUUACGGCCCUGUAUUCAUUGUUUUAACUUUAAAUAAUAAUUAUAUGUAUGCUCUUUUCGGUCCUUUUCGGUUCUUUUUGGUCCUUUUCGGUUCUUUUUGGUCCUUUUCGGUUCUUUUCUGUAAAUCGUCGCUCUUUUCUGUAAAUCGUUGGACCGCUACUCGUUAAAAAUUAUAUGAAAGAAAAUGUGUAAUUCAUUGAUAAAAAGUAGGAUUUAUGAUUUUGUUUUCUCAAAAAGGAUUUUUAUUUUAAAGUUAUGAUAAGUAAAUAUUUCCUUAAAAUAUUAUCUACUGAUACACAUUGUUCUUAUCCCAA